rnacentral:rRNA from 1 species
AGUUUCGAAUCAUUCACAAUGGGCGAAAGCCUGAUGGUGCGACGCCGCGUGAGGGAUGAAGGUCUUCGGAUUGUAAACCUCUGUCACUGGGGAAGAAACGCUUUGAGUUAAUAGUUCAAAGCCUGACUUAACCCGGAGAGGAAGCAGUGGCUAACUCUGUGCCAGCAGCCGCGGUAAUACAGAGACUGCAAGCGUUAUUCGGAUUCACUGGGCGUAAAGGGUGCGCAGGCGGCCGGGUGUGUCAGAUGUGAAAUCCCGAGGCUUAACCUCGGAACUGCGUCUGAAACUACUCGGCUAGAGUAUUGGAGAGGGUAACGGAAUUCACGGUGUAGCAGUGAAAUGCGUAGAUAUCGUGAGGAACACCAGAGGCGAAGGCGGUUACCUGGACAAUUACUGACGCUCAGGCACGAAAGCAUGGGGAGCAAA